UAGUCCAAUUAAUAUGUGAUGAUUCUAACAUAUUCAAGUGGACUGCUCUUAUCAAGGGCCCUUCUGAAACACCUUAUGAAGGUGGUGUGUUUCAACUUGCAUUCGCAAUUCCAGAGCAGUAUCCUCUGCUGCCUCCUCAAGUUCGAUUUUUGACCAAAACUUUCCACCCAAAUGUGCAUUUCAAGACAGGUGAGAUUUGUCUGGAUAUAUUGAAGAAUGCAUGGAGCCCUGCAUGGACCCUUCAGUCUGUUUGUAGAGCGAUAAUUGCUCUGAUGGCCCACCCUGAACCAGACAACCCACUUAAUUGUG